UACCAGCUCUCCGAGUGGUAGGGAUGAUUAUUGGGCUUAAAGCGUCCGUAGCCGGCUUAGCAAGUUUCCUGUUAAAUUCAGCGACCUAAUCGUUGAGCCGCGGGAAAUACUACUAGGCUAGGAGGCGGGAGAGGUCGACGGUACUUCUGGGGGUAGGGGUGAAAUCCUAUAAUCCCGGGAGGACCACCAGUGGCGAAGGCUGUCGACUAGAACGCGCUCGACGGUGAGGGACGAAAGCUGGGGGAGCGAACCGGAUUAGAUACCCGGGUAGUCCCAGCUGUAACGAUGCGGGCUAGGUGUUGGGGUGGCUACGUGCCACUUCAGUGCCGCAGGGGAAGCCAUUAAGCCCGCCGCCUGGGGGAGUACGGCCGCAAGGCUGAAACUUAAAGGAAUUGGCGGGGGAGCACCACAAGGCGUGAAGCUUGCGGUUC
rnacentral:rRNA from 1 species